rnacentral:rRNA from 1 species
AUAGAAUGAAUCAAUGAAAUUCAAUUGUAAAUUAUAUGAAAUUAAUAUUCAAGUAAAAAAGAAAUUAACAAUAUAAAUUCAUUAUAAAAAACAAAAGUUAUCAUUCAAUUAUAAACAAAAAUAGUGCCAGCAGUUGCGGUUAUACUAUUUAUAAAAUUUACAAAAACUAAUUAUCACUAACCAAUAUUUAUAAAUCCACAAAUUAUAAGUAAAAUUUAAUUUACAAUAAAUACCCUAUCCCCUCAUAAUUAAAAUUACAAAUUUAAAAUAGGAUUAGAAACCCUAGUAUAUUUUAAAAAAUUCAGGUAGUAAUAAUCUUACAAACAAACCUAUUUAUAAUGGCGGCAUUUCAUCUAACUAGAGGAACUUGUUAUUUAAUCGAUAUCCCACGUUAUUUUUCACUUUAUUACAAAAUUUAUAUACCGCCAUCAUAAGAAUUUUUACAUGAACUAUUCAUAAUAAAAUCUAAUAUGUUAGGUCAAGGUGUAGUCUACAAUAAAGCAUUAAAUGAGUUACUUUAAAUUCGAUUUCAGGAUUAAAAAAUGAAAAUAUUUUAUUAAAAAGGAUUUAACAGUAAAUUAUAAAAAUUAAUAUUAAUUGAAAAAGAUAAUAAAUGUGCACAUAUCGCCCGUCACCCUUGUCUCAAGAUAAGGUAAGUCGUAACAUAGUUGAUGUUUUAGAAAAAGCAUCAAGAU